rnacentral:lncRNA from 1 species
CAACUACAUAGAGAAUUUCUACAACAUACCUUUAACUGUUAUUAAAAAAUUAUUUUUUUAAAGAGGAAAAUAGCAUGCUAUCUGUUUAGUUUAUUUUUUUAAAAAUAUAAAUCAAUUAAAAUUUAAAUUUAGGACUUCAAAUACCAACCAUCAAAUUCUUAACCGCUUGUGCUAGAAACAAUCGGUUAUUAAAGAAAAUUCUUGUUCAUAGAAAAGGACAAUCUAGCAAU